UUUGAAUUAUACAUCUUCAGAAAUAAGUCUGUGUUUAUUACAGUUUUAAAUUAGACAAGCAUCUUUUCUACCUUUUGAAUAAAAAUUGACAGCUUAGACAGCACUUUAAUAUCACAAUAUUUAAGCAUGCCAAGUACUUUUUUUUCAUUUGGAUAUUUUAAAUAAUAUGGAGGUAUAAACUUCCCCCUUAAAUCAUUAACUUCACAAUUG
rnacentral:lncRNA from 1 species